ACACAACAGGAGAGAAUCACAGCAGAGAUGAUGUCAGCUCCUAUGUUUUGGCAGUUGUACUUCAUUGUAUGUUUAGCAGGUGGAGCUCCCUCAGACACAAUUCAAAUUUCAGAAAUGACAGCAGCACAUCACACCAUCACAACAGAAUCACAUUCAACCUGUUGAAUGUCUGUUUAGUUCACUUAAAAGAAUUUACUGAUUAAUUAUUACAUUUCCUACAGAUCUGACUGUGUAGUAGAAAAACAAACCUGAGUAGAGAGUUUUACGCCACUGUGUAAAUUUAGUUACAUUACAGUAACUACAUUAACAUUACAGUAACUACGGGAACAUUACAGUGACUACAUACUACAUGUACAUUAGUCACUACAAGAACAUUACAGCAACUACAUGAACA